CCUACGGGAGGCUGCAGUAGGGAAUAUUGCUCAAUGGGGGAAACCCUGAAGCAGCAACGCCGCGUGGAGGAUGAAGGUUUUCGGAUUGUAAACUCCUUUUGUUAGAGAAGAUAAUGACGGUAUCUAACGAAUAAGCACCGGCUAACUCCGUGCCAGCAGCCGCGGUAAUACGGAGGGUGCAAGCGUUACUCGGAAUCACUGGGCGUAAAGAGCGCGUAGGCGGGAUAGCAAGUCAGAUGUGAAAUCCUAUGGCUUAACCAUAGAACUGCAUUUGAAACUGUUAUUCUAGAGAAUGGGAGAGGUAGGUGGAAUUCUUGGUGUAGGAGUAAAAUCCGUAGAGAGCAAGAGGAAUACUCAUUGCGAAGGCGACCUGCUAGAACAUAACUGACGCUGAUGCGCGAAAGCGUGGGGAGCAAACAGGAUUAGAUACCCUAGUAGUC
rnacentral:rRNA from 1 species